rnacentral:rRNA from 1 species
AGAAUCAACGCUGGCGGCGUGCCUAACACAUGCAAGUCGCACGAGAAAGGGGCUUCGGUCCUGAGUAAAGUGGCGCACGGGUGAGUAACACGUGAAUCAUCUACCUCCGAGUGGGGAAUAACCUAGAGAAAUCUGGGCUAAUACCGCAUAACACUUACGAGUCAAAGCAGCAAUGCGCUUGGAGAGGAGUUCGCGGCAGAUUAGUUAGUUGGCGGGGUAAUGGCCCACCAAGACGAUGAUCUGUA